rnacentral:rRNA from 1 species
AUUGAACGCUGGCGGCAUGCCUUACACAUGCAAGUCGAACGGUAACGGGCCUUCGGGUGCCGACGAGUGGCGAACGGGUGAGUAAUGCAUCGGAACGUACCUUUCAGUGGGGGAUAACGUAGCGAAAGUUACGCUAAUACCGCAUAUUCUGUGAGCAGGAAAGCAGGGGAUCGCAAGACCUUGCGCUGAUUGAGCGGCCGAUGUCAGAUUAGCUAGUUGGUGAGGUAAAGGCUCACCAAGGCGACGAUCUGUAGCGGGUCUGAGAGGAUGAUCCGCCACACUGGAACUGAGACACGGUCCAGACUCCUACGGGAGGCAGCAGUGGGGAAUUUUGGACAAUGGGGGCAACCCUGAUCCAGCCAUGCCGCGUGAGUGAAGAAGGCCUUCGGUUGUAAAGCUCUUUCGGCCGGGAAGAAAUCGCAUGGGCUAAUACCCUGUGCGGAUGACGGUACCGGCAUAAGAAGCACCGGCUAACUACGUGCCAGCACGG